rnacentral:tRNA from 1 species
GGGGAGUCAGUUCAGUGGUAGAACAUAUGCUUCACAUGCAUCAAUUCCUGGGUUCAAUUCUUGGCAUCCCCU